rnacentral:rRNA from 1 species
CAGCUUGCUGCUUCGCUGACGAGUGGCGGACGGGUGAGUAAUGUCUGGGAAACUGCCUGAUGGAGGGGGAUAACUACUGGAAACGGUAGCUAAUACCGCAUAACGUCGCAAGACCAAAGAGGGGGACCUUCGGGCCUCUUGCCAUCGGAUGUGCCCAGAUGGGAUUAGCUAGUAGGUGGGGUAACGGCUCACCUAGGCGACGAUCCC